rnacentral:rRNA from 1 species
GGACGAACGCUGGCGGUGUGCUUCACACAUGCAAGUCGAACGAGGUAGCAAUACCUAGUGGCGGACGGGUGAGUAACGCGUGGGAAUCUGCCUUUAGAUGGGGGAGUAACGGGUCGAAAGACUCGCUAAUACCGCAUAUGACGAAAGUUGAAAGGAGUAAUCCGUCUAAAGAUGAGCCCGCGUCCGAUUAGCUAGUUGGUAGAGUAAAAGCCUACCAAGGCGACGAUCGGUAGCUGGUCUGAGAGGAUGAUCAGCCACAAUGGGACUGAGACACGGCCCAUACUCCUACGGGAGGCAGCAGUGGGGAAUUUUACGCAAUGGGCGAAAGCCUGACGUAGCGACACCGCGUGAGCGAAGAAGCCCCUUGGGGUGUAAAGCUCUGUCAGCUGGAACGAAAAAAAUGACGGUACCAGCAGAGGAAGCAUCGGCUAACUACGUG